CAGUCGAGCGGAGAUGCGGAUAUGUUUACAUAGAAGCGUUCUUAGCGGCGGACGGGUGAGUAACACGUGGGUAACCUGCCUCAAAGUGGGGGAUAGCCUUCCGAAAGGAAGAUUAAUACCGCAUAAGCCUACAGUGCCGCAUGGUACAGCAGGAAAAGGAGUAAUCCGCUUUGAGAUGGACCCGCGGCGCAUUAGCUAGUUGGUGAGGUAACGGCUCACCAAGGCGACGAUGCGUAGCCGACCUGAGAGGGUGAUCGGCCACAUUGGAACUGAGACACGGUCCAGACUCCUACGGGAGGCAGCAGUGGGGAAUAUUGCACAAUGGGCGAAAGCCUGAUGCAGCAACGCCGCGUGAGUGAUGAAGGCCUUCGGGUCGUAAAGCUCUUUGAUCAGGGAUGAUAAUGACAGUACCUGAAAAACAAGCCACGGCUAACUACGUGCCAGCAGCCGCGGUAAUACGUAGGUGGCGAGCGUUGUUCCGGAAAUUACUUGGGCGUAAAAGGAUGCGUAGGUGGAUAUUUAAGUGGGAUGUGAAAUUCCCCGGGCUCAACCCGGGAACUGCAUUCCAAACUGGGUAUCUAGAGUGCAGGAGAGGAAAGCGGAAUUCCUAGUGUAGCGGUGAAAUGCGUAGAUAUUAGGAGGAACACCAGUGGCGAAGGCGGCUUUCUGGACUGUAACUGACACUGAGGCAUGAAAGCGUGGGUAGCAAACAGGAUUAGAUACCCUGGUAGUCCACGCCGUAAACGAUGGGUACUAGGUGUAGGAGGUAUCGACCCCUUCUGUGCCGUCGUUAACACAAUAAGUACCCCGCCUGGGGAGUACGGUCGCAAGACUAAAAACUCAAAGGAAUUGACGGGGGCCCGCCACAAGCAGUGGAGGCAUGUGGUUUAAUUCGACGAAUACACGGAAGAACCUUUACCUGGACUUGACAUAGUAAAGAACUUUUCUAGAGAAUAAGAUUGGUGUCUGCUUGCAGAAACUUAUAUACAG
rnacentral:rRNA from 1 species